GGUAUCUAGCUAGCUAACUACUAGCGGUUUGUUACAGGUACCUAGCUAGAAAACUACUAGCGGUUUGUUACAGGUACCUAGCUAGCUAACUACUAGCGGUUUGUUACAGGUACCUAGCUAGAAAACUACUAGCGGUUUGUUACAGGUACCUAGCUAGAAAACU